rnacentral:rRNA from 1 species
AGUAGUUUGAUCCGUGGCUCAGAACGAACGCUGGCGGCAGGCCUAACACAUGCAAGUCGAGCGCGCCCUUCGGGGUGAGCGGCGGACGGGUGAGUAACGCGUGGGAACGUGCCCUUUUCUACGGAAUAGUCUCGGGAAACUGGGGGUAAUACCGUAUACGCCCUUCGGGGGAAAGAUUUAUCGGAGAAGGAUCGGCCCGCGUUGGAUUAGGUAGUUGGUGGGGUAAUGGCCUACCAAGCCGACGAUCCAUGGCUGGUUUGAAAGGAUGAUCAGCCACACUGGGACUGAGACACGGCCCAGACUCCUACGGGAGGCAGCAGGUGGGAAUCUUAGACAAUGGGCGCAAGCCUGAUCUAGCCAUGCCGCGUGAGCGAUGAAGGCCUUAGGGUUGUAAAGCUCUUUCAGGGGGGAAGAUAAUGACUGUACCCCCAGAAGAAGCACCGGCUAACUACGUG